rnacentral:rRNA from 2 species
ACGGGCAGACUAGAGUGAUGUAGGGGAGACUGGAAUUCCUGGUGUAGCGGUGAAAUGCGCAGAUAUCAGGAGGAACACCGAUGGCGAAGGCAGGUCUCUGGGCAUUAACUGACGCUGAGGAGCGAAAGCAUGGGGAGCGAACAGGAUUAGAUACCCUGGUAGUCCAUGCCGUAAACGUUGGGCACUAGGUGUGGGGGACAUUCCACGUUUUCCGCGCCGUAGCUAACGCAUUAAGUGCCCCGCCUGGGGAGUACGGCCGCAAGGCUAAAACUCAAAGGAAUUGACGGGGGCCCGCACAAGCGGCGGAGCAUGCGGAUUAAUUCGAUGCAACGCGAAGAACCUUACCAAGGCUUGACAUGAACCGGAAAGACCUGGAAACAGGUGCCCCGCUUGCGGUCGGUUUACAGGUGGUGCAUGGUUGUCGUCAGCUCGUGUCGUGAGAUGUUGGGUUAAGUCCCGCAACGAGCGCAAUCCCUCGUUCUAUGUUGCCAGCACGUGAUGGUGGGGACUCAUAGGAGACUGCCGGGGUCAACUCGGAGGAAGGUGGGGACGACGUCAAAUCAUCAUGCCCCUUAUGUCUUGGGCUUCACGCAUGCUACAAUGGCCGGUACAAAGGGUUGCGAUACUGUGAGGUGGAGCUAAUCCCAAAAAGCCGGUCUCAGUUCGGAUUGGGGUCUGCAACUCGACCCCAUGAAGUCAGAGUCGCUAGUAAUCGCACAUCAGCAACGCUGCGGUGAAUACGUUCCCGGGCCUUGUACACACCGCCCGUCA